rnacentral:rRNA from 1 species
UACGUAGGGUCCGAGCGUUGUCCGGAAUUACUGGGCGUAAAGAGCUCGUAGGCGGUUUGUCGCGUCGAAUGUGAAAACCCGGGGCUCAACCCCGGGCCUGCAUUCGAUACGGGCAGACUAGAGUUCGGUAGGGGAGUCUGGAAUUCCUGGUGUAGCGGUGAAAUGCGCAGAUAUCAGGAGGAACACCGGUGGCGAAGGCGGAUCUCUGGGCCGUAACUGACGCUGAGGAGCGAAAGCGUGGGGAGCGAACAGG